GGAAGAGCCAUCACUAAUCUGAAUCACAGCUGCUGUCGGAAGCCUAUAUACAGACAUGAAAGAAGGAAGCAGUUGCUCUUGCCUGCUUGCUCUCACUUCACUGGCAAGUCUGUUACUUCACUAGAAUUAGAGCUUGCUUCUUCAGGAUUCCAGGGUAUUUUGAUGAGCAGCUGAGAUGACUGGUGUCACGGACUGUACAACUACUGGAUGUUUGGACUUCAUGUUCAUAGGCAGUCAUUUUUGGAUUAGCUGGACCACAGUCUACAGGGACUGGUAGUACAGCUUUACCAUGUGCUAGAGGGAGAGCUGGAA
rnacentral:lncRNA from 1 species